rnacentral:lncRNA from 1 species
CAAGCCUUGCCGUGCCUUCCCACCACCAUCACCACCUUGUGCAGCCACCAUUGGAGGAGGAAGAAGUAGUGCCGUGCAUUCCAAAGGAGGAAGACACCUUGCACAUGCAAUCUGCCAUUAGUGGAGUGUUUGGAGUUCUUUCUUUCUUUCUUUGUUUCUGUUUUCAUGUUUAAUUUAAAUUGUUGUUCAAUUAUGUUAGACAUGUGGAACUAAUUUCUUUUUAGUUAGAGGUGAAUUUGAAGCCAUGGAC